GAUGAACGCUGGCGGUGUGCCUAAUACAUGCAAGUCGAGCGAACAGACGAGGAGCUUAUUCCUCUGACGUUAGCGGCGGACGGGUGAGUAACACGUGGAUAACCUACCUAUAAGACUGGGAUAACUUCGGGAAACCGGAGCUAAUACCGGAUAACAUGCUGAACCGCAUGGUUCAAUAGUGAAAGACGGUCUUGCUGUCUCUUCUCGAUGGAUCCGCGUCGCAUUAGCUAGUUGGUAAGUUAAAGGCCUACCAAGGCAACGAUGCGUAGCCGACCUGAGAGAGUGAUCGCCCACACGGGAGCGUGGACGCGGACCAGGCGCCUACGGUAGGCAGCAGUAGGGAAUCGGCCGCAAUAGGCGGGAGCCUGGCAGAACGGCGCCACGUGAGAGAAGAAAGUCUUGGGAUCGGAAAACUCGGUUAUGGGGUAAAAACAAAUGUGUAAGUAACUAUGCACGGCUUGACGGUACCGGGUCAAAAAGCAACGGCUAACUACGUG
rnacentral:rRNA from 1 species